rnacentral:rRNA from 1 species
UAGGGAAUCUUCGGCAAUGGGGGGAACCCUGACCGAGCAACGCCGCGUUAGUGAAGAAGGUUUUCGGAUCGUAAAGCUCUGUUGUUAAGGAAGAACGAGUGUGAGAAUGGAAAGUUCAUACUGUGACGGUACUUAACCAGAAAGGGACGGCUAACUACGUGCCAGCAGCCGCGGUAAUACGUAGGUCCCGAGCGUUGUCCGGAUUUAUUGGGCGUAAAGCGAGCGCAGGCGGUUAGAUAAGUCUGAAGUUAAAGGCAGUGGCUCAACCAUUGUAGGCUUUGGAAACUGUUUAACUUGAGUGCAGAAGGGGAGAGUGGAAUUCCAGGUGUGGCGGUGAAAUGCGUAGAUAUAUGGAGGAACACCGGUGGCGAAAGCGACUCUCUGGUCUGUAAAUGACGCUGAGGCUCGAAAGCGUGGGGAGCGAACAGG